UACAGGGGGUGCAAACGUUGCUCGGAAUCAUUGGGCGUAAAGCGCACGUAGGCGGUUCGUUAUGUCGGAUGUGAAAGCCCUUGGCUUAACCGAGGAAGUGCAUCCGAAACUGGCGAGCUAGAGUACUAAAGAGGAUCGCGGAAUUCCCGGUGUAGAGGUGAAAUUCGUAGAUAUCGGGAGGAACACCGGUAGCGAAGGCGGCGAUCUGGGUAGAUACUGACGCUGAGGUGCGAAAGCGUGGGGAGCAAACAGG
rnacentral:rRNA from 1 species